AACGAACGCUGGCGGCAGGCUUAACACAUGCAAGUCGAACGCCCCGCAAGGGGCGUGGCAGUCGGGUGAGUACCGCGUGGGAAUCUACCCAUCCCUACGGAAUAACGCAUGGAAACGUGUGCUACUACCGUCUACGCCCUACGGGGGAAAGAUUUAUCGCGGAGGGAUGAGCCCGCGUUGGAUUAGCUAGUUGGUGGGGUAAAGGCCUACCAAGGCGACGAUCCAUAGCUGGUCAGAGAGGAUGAUCAGCCACAUUGGGACUGAGACACGGCCAAAACUCCUACGGGAGGCGGGAGUGGGGAAUAUUGGACAAUGGGCGCAAGCCUGAGCCAGCCAUGCCGCGUAAGUGAUGAAGGCCUUAGGGUUGUAAAGCUCUCUCACCGGAGAAGAUAAUGACGGUAUCCGGAGAAGAAGCCCCGGCUAACUUCGUG
rnacentral:rRNA from 1 species